AGAAAUCAUAAUCUAUAGCAUCUAACAUUAAUGGCUGCACUAACUUCAGUUAGCGCAGGCUCAACUUCUGCUUCUUUGCAGCAUCGAUUUUACUCAACUCCCAUAGAAUUAGCAUCUGUUACAUGUAGCUUAGCUUCCACAGGCAAGAGAAGAUCAUUCUCCUUCAGCAACAACUCUUCAACAACCCUCAGAAUCAGAUGUGCAG
rnacentral:misc_RNA from 1 species